GGUCCGAUGCCACGUCGCCGGUAGCCAAGAGCAGUGACCGGCGAUGCUAUGAUUGGACCGAUAUAAAUUCCAUGUUUCGCUUGCUGAUAGGAACCUGUGGAUCUGAAACAGUGUGAUCUACGGAGCCGUUUUCGGCGAUUACAGUU
rfam:Gossypium hirsutum cultivar TM-1 chromosome 9, whole genome shotgun sequence